GAUGAAGAACGCAGCGAACUGCGAUAAGUAAUGUGAAUUGCAGAAUUCAGUGAAUCAUCGAAUCUUUGAACGCACAUUGCGCCCGCCAGCACUCUGGCGGGCAUGCCUGUUCGAGCGUCAUUUCAACCAUCAAGCCCCCAGGGGCUUGUGCUGGGGCCCUGCGGCUGCCCGCAGGCCCUGAAAACCAGUGGCGGGCUCGCUAGUCACACCGAGCGCAGUAGCACAUCUCGCUCAGGGCGUGCGGCGGGCUCCUGCCGUGAAACCCCCCACUGUAACCCCAAAGGUUGACCUCGGAUCAGGUAGGAAUACCCGCUGAACUUAAGCAUAUCAAUAAGCGGAGGA
rnacentral:misc_RNA from 1 species